rnacentral:rRNA from 1 species
AAAAUCCGGGGGGCUUAGCUGAGGCGUGAUGACGAGGCGCUACGGCGCUGAAGUGAUUGAUACCAAGCUUCCAGGAAAAGCCACUAAGCUUCAGUCUAGAGUUGACCGUACCGCAAACCGACACAGGUGGGCAGGAUGAAAAUUCUAAGGCGCUUGAGAGAACUCAGGAGAAGGAACUCGGCAAAUUAACACCGUAACUUCGGGAGAAGGUGUGCCCCGGUAGCGUGUAGAGACUUGCUCUCGAAGCGCGAUGGGGUUGCAGUGAAAUGGUGGCUGCGACUGUUUAAUAAAAACACAGCACUCUGCAAACACGAAAGUGGACGUAUAGGGUGUGACGCCUGCCCGGUGCCGGAAGGUUAAUUGAUGGGGUGCAAGCUCUUGAUCGAGGCCCCGGUAAACGGCGGCCGUAACAAUAACGGUCCUAAGGUAGCGAAAUUCCUUGUCGGGUAAGUUCCGACCUGCACGAAUGGCGUAACGAUGGCCACACUGUCUCCUCCUGAGACUCAGCGAAGUUGAAAUGUUUGUGAAGAUGCAAUCUACCCGCGGCUAGACGGAAAGACCCCAUGAACCUUUACUGUAGCUUUGCAUUGGACUUUGAACCGGUUUGUGUAGGAUAGGUGGGAGACUGUGAAGCCGGGACGCUAGUUUCGGUGGAGUCAACCUUGAAAUACCACCCUGAUUUGUUUGAGGUUCUAACCUUGGUCCGUGAAUCCGGAUCGGGGACCGUGCAUGGUAGGCAGUUUGACUGGGGCGGUCUCCUCCCAAAAGGUAACGGAGGAGUACGAAGGUACGCUUAGGGCGGUCGGACAUCGCCCACAAAGUGCAAUGGCAAAAGCGUGCUUGACUGCGAGACCCACAAGUCGAGCAGGUACGAAAGUAGGUCAUAGUGAUCCGGUGGUUCUGUAUGGAAGGGCCAUCGCUCAACGGAUAAAAGGUACCCUGGGGAUAACAGGCUAAUUCCUCCCAAGAGUUCAUAUCGACGGGGGAGUUUGGCACCUCGAUGUCGGCUCAUCACAUCCUGGGGCUGUAGUCGGUCCCAAGGGUAUGGCUGUUCGCCAUUUAAAGUGGUACGCGAGCUGGGUUUAAAACGUCGAGAGACAGUUUGGUCCCUAUCUGCCGUGGGCGCUGGAAAUUUGAAGGGGGCUGCUCCUAGUACGAGAGGACCGGAGUGGACGAACCUCUGGUGUACCGGUUAUGACGCCAGUCGUAUUGCCGGGUAGCUAAGUUCGGAAGAGAUAAACGCUGAAAGCAUCUAAGCGUGAAACUCGCCUUAAGAUUAGAUUUCCCGGAGUCUUGAACUC